rnacentral:rRNA from 1 species
GUGGGGAAUAUUCCGCAAUGGGCGCAAGCCUGACGGAGCAACGCCGCGUGAAUGAAGACGGUCUUCGGAUUGUAAAGUUCUGUCAUUAGGGACGAAGGACUCAUGUAAAUAAUAUGAGGAAUGACGGUACCUAAGGAGGAAGCUCCGGCUAACUACGUGCCAGCAGCCGCGGUAAUACGUAGGGAGCAAGCGUUGUCCGGAAUUACUGGGCGUAAAGGGCGCGUAGGCGGAUAAUUAAGUCAGAUGUGAAAUCUCCAGGCUUAACUUGGAGCGUGCAUUUGAAACUGGUUAUCUUGAGGGCAGGAGAGGAAAGUGGAAUUCCUAGUGUAGCGGUGAAAUGCGUAGAUAUUAGGAGGAACACCAGUGGCGAAGGCGACUUUCUGGACGAUGUCUGACGCUGAGGCGCGAAAGCUAGGGGAGCGAACGGGAUUAGAAACCCCGGUAGUCC